rnacentral:rRNA from 1 species
UACGAAGGGGGCUAGCGUUGUUCGGAAUUACUGGGCGGAAAGCGCACGUAGGCGGAUUGUUAAGUUAGGGGGGAAAUCCCAGGGCUCAACCCUGGAACUGCCUUUAAUACUGGCAAUCUCGAGUCCGAGAGAGGUGAGUGGAAUUCCGAGUGUAGAGGUGAAAUUCGUAGAUAUUCGGAAGAACACCAGUGGCGAAGGCGGCUCACUGGACUGGUAUUGACGCUGAGGUGCGAAAGCGUGGGGAGCAAACAGG